CAAUAGGUUAAUUGUGCACGUUCUUGGAUGAGUCAGCCUGUAAUUGCUGAUACCAAUAUGUUCGGCGUUGCUGCCUCAGGGGCUUGGUGUGUGAGUCAGAUGAUGGAAAUGAGGAUAAAGUUGGCCUUGUUUCCUGAAAUCUUAGAAACCGAAUAAUAAGUUUUUGAACUUGGUAUGUGAUCAAAAUCACUUUGGGAGAAAGAUGAAAAGACAGAAUGAAAAACUUGGCAUGCAGGUAAAAGCAGAAUUCAGGAACCAGGAAAACAAGAAGUGCUGUAAUGUAAUACAACCCUCUAUUCUGUUAUGACUCAGCAGAAUCACAAGAUUUGAGCUCUGGAGGUGUUUUCUGUCCAUCAAACAAACGAAGCCCACUCCACCAAGAAUAACUGGCUCUAUACCUUGUUUUUCUAACAACCUAAGCUACGUUGUUUCCAGUUCUGGCCCUGGAUUAUUGGACUCAUUGAGUGACAUUUGGCAAGUCACUAAACAUCUCUGGACUCCAGUUUACCCGUCCAAACCUCAGGGGUCACGUGAGUGAGAUCCCUUUCAAGACCCCUUUCUAUUAGGUUACUGCAAAAGUAGUUGCAGUGUUUGCUAUUAAAAGUAACGUCAAAACCACAAUUACUUUUGCACCAACCUAUAUUUCUAGCAUCUAGCAUCCAUACCUCACUAUUUAUGGCAAAUUUAUUCCUAUAUUGAAUUCCUACAAUGCAAUGCACAACUCCCAAAUGUUACAUCUUUUGAGCCCUCUAAAUUACUUUAAAAUAGACAUGCUGAAGGUGACAGCCCUGUAGAUAAAAAUGUUAAAUACUCCAAGUCAGGUUGAACAAUUCCUGAAAACUCAUGUUCUUUGUAAUUUUUCCUUUUGGCUUUAAUUUUCUGGGUAAAGGAAAAAUGCCAACCUUUCCCUCCUCUAAACUCUCACAGCACUUUAUUUUUGUCUGUCUUAGAACAUUGAUUGCUUAAAAACUUAUUUGCACCUACACACCUUAAGUGUUUCCGUUAUGAAGCUGUGGUUGAAUCAACCAUCUCCUCAGUGUAUUCUUUCAAACUCAGUGUAUUCUUUUGCAGGGGCUGCCAGAACAAAGUACCAAUGGGUGGCUUAAACAACAGACAUUUAUUUUCUUGCAGUUCUGGAUUGCUAGAAAUCUGAGAUUAAAGUGUUAGCAGGAUUGAUUUCUUUUGAGGCCUUUGUCCUUGGCUUAUAGAUGGCCAACUUCUGCUGUGUCCUCAUUUGAUUUUCCUUUUGUAUGUCAAUGUCCUAUUCUCCUCUUUUCAUGACACCAGUCAUAUUGGAUAGGCCCAUCGUAAUGACCUCAUUUUAACUUAAUCCCUUUGUUAAAGGACCCAUCUCCAAAUAUAAUCACAUUUUGAGAUACUGGAGUUAGGAUGACAACAUAUGACUUUUCAGGGGACACAAUUCAGUCUAUAAGAUUCAGGAAGCACAAGUCUCCAAUUCCCAACUUGAUCUUGUUUCUGUGCACCACAGUGCUUACUGCUCACCCUCCAUUCCUGAGAAGUUGCAUCUGUACUCAGCUGAUUUAUAGGUAAGGUGGGAUUCAAAAGUGAUAUUAGUAAUACAAGAAAUAGAAGCUAAUCUUUGCAGUUUAGUCAGUACUUAUGCCUAUCUACCAAGAUGUGCUUCACUCCAACUUUAUAGACUUUCUAAACUUUAUGGACUUUACUCUAACUUUAUAUAGACUUCCACUCAAUCUUUAUGGAACUUUGAGGCUCUAACCUAAAAUACAGAUAGUGUGUUUUUGAUGAGCAAAAUCAUUCUUGGCCUUAUGGCAACAUUUUGCUCUGAAUAGGAUUCUGUUGGUUUGAAACACAGCAUUUCACUUGCUCUUUUGGAAGUAUAUUCCAUAUUGUUUACCUGAUGCUCAGAGGUAAAUGUAUAAAAUGUAUAAAAAUGCUUGACCCUUCUCAUACCUGGAGAAAGCCAUGAUCCAUUCAACAUGGUAUUUAAUUUCUGAUAACUAUGACAAAAGAAGGCAGAAAAUAUUGCCUUAACAGCUGUGUUUCCCUGAACAACCCAUUAUAGCUCUCCCAUCUAAGGUUCUUUAAAUCAUUUUGGAGUCUCUUAGAGAAUUUUAAGCCCAAGGAAACUGUUAAGAAAAAGGCUUCCAUAUUUUGAGUUAAAGGUAUUAUUUCAAUGGCAUUCGGGAAACAGCAAAUGAGUUUAGUGUGUUCAUGUUUCAACUUAGGUCCUACUCUUGGAGCUAGAAGAUCAGAGCUUAAGUCACAGGUAGGCUCAGACCUUGGGAAAUUAACUCCACCACUUCUGAGUCUUAAUUCUUGAAGUCAGCAAUUAGUGUAAUGAUUUUCUGCCAUUCUUAACUCUUGGAUAGUGUGAAAUACAAACUGACAGAAUUUGUUAUUUUUAAUAAGUUUAAGAGCGGGCUGGUCAGCUGCUGUCAUCUAGGCUUGCUCAUGGGUCUAUGGUCAGCUGUGAAAGGUCUAGGAUGAUCUCAGGUGGACAACUCAGCUCUGUUCCUUGUGUGAUCUUGUGUUCCAACAGGCUAGUUUCCUCAAAGACACAGGAACAAGAAGGAGAGAAUAGAAUCAAGGUAUUUGGAGGCCUUGGCUCAGAACUAGUGCCCUAUCACUUCUUCCUCAUUGCAUUGGGCAAAACAUGUGACAAGCCAGCCCAGAUUCUCCAGCCAGCGUUAUGUUGAAAUCUCAACUCCAACCCUAAGCCUACCUCUUCCUGGUCAUGAUCACUUCUGCUGCCACUUGCUUCCCUACCACUGUCCCUGUCUUGGAGGAAUAGGAAGAGAAGACUCCAUUCUUGACUAGAGAAGCUUCAAAAUCAUUUGAAACUGAGUGUUGACACAAGGCAAAAUCAGAUUGGGGCCAUUUUGCAAACCAUCUACUAUCACAAAAAUAACUGAAAAAUUAGGCCAUUGUUCCCAUACAAUUUGUGACCACUGUCUUUCUUAGAAUCUCCAUGUACACAGUAAAACAUUUUCCCAUGAUUUGAUUCUAGUUUCUUGCCCUUUUUAGACGUGGAAACCACGCAGAUAAGCUUCUUACUCUGUAAGGUUACUAUUUGGUGUUUUCUAUCACUUCUAAUUGAAAAGAUACUGCAUUUUUAAAAGUAUAAAAUUUGGGAUGACUCAGGGGAAAUUUUAAGAGUUCCAUUAGAAACCACAUGUGGCAUACUUCACAGUUGCAAUAUAAACACAAUGAAAAGUGUACACUUUAUUCUUUCCCUUCUUGAGAAGGCCAUUAUUAUUUCCAUUUCAUUGUUUUCAAAAUAAUUGAAAAUGGUCAAUUUUAUGUUCCUCUAUGGUAAACAUAUUGAGUGGAAAAUUUCAAAUUUAGCUAUUUCUCCUACUUGAGAACAUGAUUUGCAUUGUAAGUCAUUUGCAAUAAAUGAACUGCUUGGACUAUUAAACUGGAGGAUCUCAGAAUAUAUAUAUUUGUCAGCUAUGAUUUAAAUCCCAC
rnacentral:lncRNA from 1 species